GCCAGCAUAGCUCAGUUGGUAGAGCACUUGAUUUGUAAUCAGGCGGUCGUGGGUUCGAGUCCCACCGCUGGCUCCA
rnacentral:tRNA from 1 species